GCCUAACUCUUUCUUCGUGCUUAACACAUGCAAGUCGAACGGAAAGGCCCUGCUUUUGUGGGGUGCUCGAGUGGCGAACGGGUGAGUAACACGUGAGUAACCUGCCCUUGACUUUGUGAUAACUUCAGGAAACUGGGGCUAAUACCGGAUAGGAGCUCCUGCUGCAUGGGGGGGGUUGGAAAGUUUCGGCGGUUGGGGAUGGACUCGCGGCUUAUCAGCUUGUUGGUGGGGUAGUGGCUUACCAAGGCUUUGACGGGUAGCCGGCCUGAGAGGGUGACCGGCCACAUGGGGACUGAGAUACGGCCCAGACUCCUACGGGCGGCAGCAGUGGGGAAUAUUGCACAAUGGGCGGAAGCGUGAUGCAGCAACGCCGCGUGCGGGAUGACGGCCUUCGGGUUGUAAACCGCUUUCGCCUGUGACGAAGCGUGAGUGACGGUAAUGGGUAAAGAAGCACCGGCUAACUACGUG
rnacentral:rRNA from 1 species